UACGUAGGGGGCAAGCGUUGUCCGGAAUCAUUGGGCGUAAAGAGCGUGUAGGCGGCCCGAUAAGUCCGCUGUGAAAGUCCAGGGCUCAACCCUGGGAUGCCGGUGGAUACUGUCGGGCUCGAGUCCGGAAGAGGAGUGUGGAAUUCCUGGUGUAGCGGUGAAAUGCGCAGAUAUCAGGAGGAACACCAAUGGCGAAGGCAGCACUCUGGGACGUGACUGACGCUGAGACGCGAAAGCGUGGGAGCAAACAGG
rnacentral:rRNA from 1 species